rnacentral:rRNA from 1 species
UACGAAGGUCCCAAGCGUUAUCCGGAUUUAUUGGGCUUAAAGGGUGCGUAGGCGGGCUAUUAAGUCAGUGGUGAAAGCCCCAAGCUUAACUUGGGAACUGCCAUUGAUACUGAUGGUCUUGAGUACAUUUGAGGUGGGCGGAAUGUGUCAUGUAGCGGUGAAAUGCUUAGAUGUGACACAGAACACCGAUUGCGAAGGCAGCUCACUAAACUGUAACUGACGCUGAGGCACGAAAGCGUGGGGAGCAAACAGG